CAGCAGUCGCCGCGGUAAUACGGAGGGGGCUAGCGUUGUUCGGAAUUACUGGGCGUAAAGCGCACGUAGGCGGCUUUGUAAGUUAGAGGUGAAAGCCUGGAGCUCAACUCCAGAAUUGCCUUUAAGACUGCAUCGCUUGAAUCGCGGAGAGGUGAGUGGAAUUCCGAGUGUAGAGGUGAAAUUCGUAGAUAUUCGGAAGAACACCAGUGGCGAAGGCGGCUCACUGGACGCGUAUUGACGCUGAGGUGCGAAAGCGUGGGGAGCAAACAGGAUUAGAUACCCCCGUAGUCCCUGUCUCUUAUAC
rnacentral:rRNA from 1 species